UUUUUUUUUAAAAAAAAAAUUUAACUGUUUUAUCCAUAUUCUACUUUAGAUUCCAGAAUUUCCAUUUUAAUGCCAAAAACAUAAUCAGCUUAAGCAUCAACGUUCCCUCUGAAUUAAAAAUAAUUUAAUUUUUUAUUUAAAAAAAAUUUAACUUUAAGAAUUUUCUUAAAAAGUGAUUGACGUACAAGGUAAAAUCGGUCUACAUCAUCAAAUACAAUUUUUUUAUUAAAAAAAAAGUAUUAUUAGGAUGAUUUUUUUUUUCUUGGCUCAUGCAAGUAUAUGAAUAUGAAGGAAAAAAUUGCUUAUUCAUGGAAACAAGAAGAAGGCAGAAAACAUCCAGUUCUUUUACGGCUCUUGUAUGGGGCAUCAAUUAUAGAUUCCAAAAUGAAGGUGACAAAAACCGUAACUUUUAACGCAAAAUGGAUAAUUGAAAAAGACUUCUAUCAUUGCUUGUGUCCACAACAUAAUUUAAACCUCAACAAACCCUGCAUCUUAAUAAGCUAAAGUUACAAGGAAAACGAAAAUGAAAAUGUUACUUCAAAAAAAGUAUCACCUUUAGCUAGAGUUCAUACCCAAAUUAUUGGGGAGUAAAAACUAAAAAUGGUUGGAGGAGAAUGAUUAUCAGUUACCCAGCAAAACGAUGCAGCCGCCUCAAUGUCUAGUUGAUAAGCAACUCACAAUUAAGCAAAGACUAGUUCCUGCGAUAAAUGCAGAAAAGGAAAAUAGCCAGCCUUGAAUUGCAGAAAAUGAUUCGCAGACAAUUCAGAUGGUCAGGGCUUAAAUGCAGAAAAGGCCACAACCGAGUUGUGUCCACCAAAUCCGAAGGAAUUUGAAAUGGCAACAUUCACUUCGUGCUGCUGCUUCUUAUUGGCAACAGUGUUAAAUUCAACUGAAGGCUCUGGAUCCUGCAGGCAUGGCAAAGAAUCUUUCAAGUACAGACUCGUGCAAGAUGAUCUUAAUUGAUUAACAAAUUAAAAUAUCAGCUAAAAUAGAAAAUGAUCUAACACAUACAAAUUGGUUAAUUGUAGGAUGCAACCAUCCUGUGGUUAUGGCCUUCACACAGGCAAUUGCUUCCAAGCCUCCAGCAGCACCAAGGCAAUGCCCUAUCAUAGACUUGGUUGCGUUGAUUUUGAUCUCAGAAGUAUUCUUGAAUACUUUUUUUAUAGCAUUUAUUUCAGCGAGGUCACCGGCAAGGGUGGAAGUUGCAUGCGCAUUUAUGUAGUUAACCUCCUCAGGUGACACACCAGCA
rnacentral:misc_RNA from 1 species